UACGUAGGGGGCUAGCGUUGUCCGGAUUUAUUGGGCGUAAAGCGUCCGCAGGUGGUUAUGCAAGUCUGCUGUCAAAGCGCGAGGCUUAACUUCGUAAAGGCAGUGGAAACUGAACAGCUAGAGUAUGGUAGGGGCAGAGGGAAUUCCUGGUGUAGCGGUGAAAUGCGUAGAGAUCAGGAAGAACAUCGGUGGCGAAGGCGCUCUGCUGGACCAUAACUGACACUCAGGGACGAAAGCUAGGGGAGCGAAUGGG
rnacentral:rRNA from 1 species